rnacentral:lncRNA from 1 species
CCAGACUCAUGCCAGCAGAGCACCACACUGCCUCAGCCCCCGUAGUUGGCAUUUGGACAAGAAUCUCUUCCUGACCCCAGAUGGCAUCACAGCUUCCUCAGUCUGAUCCUGUCAGCAUGUUUUUUCCAAGUACCUGAUUCGUGGAUAUGGCAGCGAUAAAACCAACUGAGAUUGCUUGGCUGGUCCCUUCUGGAACAGGCACCAAGAUGAGAUCCUAAUUUUCUUCAUUCUGUAAUGAUGUUUGCAAGAGGCAAGACUUGGAGGACAGGCUUUUUU